ensembl:lncRNA
CAGAUAUUUACCAAUAAGACUUUAUCAAGAUAAGUGGGAUUAUAGCCAUUUAUAUAUAUAUAUUUUUGCUUUUGUAUUUUUUCUCAGUAAAAAAAUUAUUAAAGAAUGUACAAUUUUCUGAUUUUUUUUAAAAGUUUUAAUUCAUUUGCUACUAAUUGGUGUCUGUCCUGCUUUUUUGACAAGGUUUUCCAUAAGUUUUUAAUUGCUUCAAUUGGUUGAAAACUAAUCCUUCCCAUAAGAAAUGUACCUUUUUAAAAAUGAUUUUUGUGCAUGUUUUGUGACUUGCCUGUGGAUAUUUUUUAGAAGCUGAGUUCACACAUGUUUAGUUGCUCAGUCGUGUCUGACUCGUUGCAACCCCAUGGAUGGUAGCCCACCAGGCUCCUCUUGUCAUGGGAUUUCCCAGGCAAGAAUACUGGAGUGGGAGGCCGUUUCCUUCUCCAGAGGAUCUUCCUGUCCCAGGGAUUGAACCUGCAUCUCUUUACCAGCUGAGCCACUAGGGAAGUCCUAGUUCACAUAUGCACACACCUAAAUCGGCCAGUAAGUUUUAAGAUGUCUUUAUCAUUUUCCAGCACUAAGGUUCCCACUCUCUGAGCAGGGAGACCAACAGCCUGAUCUAUAGGCAAUGAUUCGCGGGGGUCUGUUAUCUUUUCCAUCAUGUCGCUGGGUGCCUCCCCGGAGAGCGUGGGCAGAAGUGAGCCUGGCUCCAGAACUUUGAUCUUGAGUACAGCUUUGAGUGGCAACCUUCAUGUGGUCCUCAACGUGUGAUCGGGUCAUCAAAGCCAGAUCAGUGGCUUACGUGGCAGGAUCGGGAAAUGAGUUUAUCUGUGAUCAGAGGGUUUCGAGGGAUUAGUAACCCUUUCAAGUUACACUCUGUGCCUCUCUGGAGCAAAAGCAUUGCAGAGAGGAGCAACGACAGUUCACCUCCAAGCAUAUUUCAGGGUAAGAUGACAGCUGUGACUAAACAGUACCAACUGUAUCUCUUCCAUCAAGUGGAAAAGACCACAAGCAUUGAAGAGGAUGUCUUUAUCAAAAUAUCUGUAAUUGUGACCUUCAAAGAAACAGAACGAGAAGUGCUAGUGAACUGUUUUUUCACAAGUAGCCUUCCUUCAUUUCCUUUAAAGCUGAGACCUCCUCCUUUAGCAAAAACAUAGUUUCUCUCUGCUGCAAGAAAGCUGAAAAACAUAAUUAUUUCCAUCUGUUCGUUUUCCUCUUCUUUGGUAGUUGGUUUUCCCUGCUCUAGGAAGAGACAUUUUGUUUGUCUGGACCUGAACAUCAUCGCAGAAAAGAAGGCAAUUUAAAAACACCUUCCUGAAAUCUGAUAUGGGUCACCGUCUCAUCCAAGGCCGUAACGUGACUUGCCUGCACGCCUCUAUGCUUUCUUGAGUAAGAGAAGGGGAUGGAACUGAACAAUCAUCAUGGGAUCAUAUCACUAUAGGGCUGACAGAGGCUUAACCUUAUUCGAUGUGUAAAUCUUCUCUAUUAUACCCACAGUGCUGGAUUUCAAUGUGCUAAUUAAUUUCAUCUCUCUCCCCUCUGAGUUCUGAACCUGUUGAGAAAGAAACCAGGGAGUGUGAUAUUGUGAUUUUUGAUGAGAAAUACAUAUAUUUGGUAUUUGUCCCCAUUUCUGGCAAGGAGUUCCUAAAACCCUUGGAAUUUCCCAAGUUUUAAGGAUGAUAAAAGUGUCUUCUGUUAUAUUAAUGAGAGCAAUUUUAGGAAGCAUCUAAGGAUGGAGAUUGGUGACCAGAGGAACCAACUAUGUGACUUGAGGGCUGGAACUUCCAGUCCCGCUCUCACUGACCUCCAGGGAGGGGAGAGGGCUGAAGAUGGAGUCCAAUCUCCACUGGCCAAUGAUUUAAUCAACUGUACCUAGGUAGUAAAGCCUCCCAGGAGAACAGACUGUCUGUAUCUACAAAGAUGCUAUUAGAAGCUUUGUUCAUUGGCAGUAUUCAAGUGAUUGGCAGUUGUGUAGUCAACACUCCAACAUAUACCAACAGACUUGAGUAUGUCAACAAAAAAAGUUGUACAAGAAUGUUCCCAGGGAAAAGACAGCCUUCAGAAUGGGAGAAAAUAAUAGCAAACAAAGCAACUGACAGAGAAUUAAUCUCCAAAAUAUACAAGCAGCUCAUGCAGCUCAAUACCAAAAAAUAAACAACCCAAUAAAAAAAAUGGGCUAAAGAAC